AAACUUUUCCAUCGGUCAUUAAGAAAGCACAAGAGUGCAAUUAUUCUGUAGCAGCAGCUCUAUACCAACGAAUACUUUUAUCAGCACCUGCGACGAUGAACCCAUUUUUAUACCAUGCCACAGCCCAAAUAGCUCCAUCCGUUUCACUUUGUGUACUAAUACAUUCCAUGGUGUCAAUAUCCCAGAUUUUGAUUUUUCCUUCAACAUCAGCCGAAAGCAACAAAUCACCUACGGGAUUGAAAGCUACUGCAAAAAUCCAUGCAGCAUGACCACGAAGUUGGCCGACUUGAUCCCCUGAUAAAACGUCGUAGAUAGUAAUCAUUUUAGAAUCCCCGGCAGCAGCUAAAAGUGUUGAACCAGGAGAGAACGCCACUGAUCGUACAGGGGAAGUGUGGCCCGAUAGUACAUGAAACAAGCGUCCUGUUUCUGUACUUAUAAGGAAAAGCUGCCCAGUUUGAUGACCAGAAACGAUAAAUCUUCCAUUGGGAGAAUAGUCUAUACAAAGACCGAAUUUACCUUUGGUAUCUAACUCGGAAAUUUUGCAAUCACUUGGAUUGUCCCAGACAGCAAUACGCCCGUCUACAGAUGUGAAAGCAAUCGUUUGUCCAUCAGGGCUAAUGCAAGAAGACCAGCAUUCGCUGGGAUGUUGAGCAUUAUUACCUAAAUCAUAUUCGUUAGAGAAAUGCAUAGCUUCUUCGUAAAGUAAUUCGUACCCAAGUCUCGAAAUUCAUUAGUUUCAGGAUUCCAAACAUAAACAUCCUGUCCAAAUCCGCAAGAAACGACGACGUUUUCAUCCAAGCUAGUUGCUAGAUGAUGAACGCCAAGUUUAUGAGGGGUAUCUAUUUCUUCAACUAAGCUAUGCUCAGCAUCACCUAUAGACCAUUUUUUUAUUUUGGAAUCCCCAGAAGCCGACCAAAGAUUGCCUGCGACUACAUUGAGAGAGUAAAUGUCUGCUUGAUGUGCAUUUUCUUCUAUAUGGCUAACGAGAUACUCUUUCCUCAUAGUAUCUAAUAAAUAAGGAAAAUAAUACAACAAAAUUAGUAAUUAAAAUGCUGGCGCUUUCCAAUACUUUAUAAUACUUAAACCUGUGACUAGCAGGACUUAGUUUACUGUGGUUGCGUUCUCCUUAGAUAUACACGGUCUAUGCACAUACCCUAAACAUGUUAGUGAAAAGAUGAAUUUAUAAGUAUGAAUGAAAGAAAAUAAUUCUUUUCUGUAGGUAGAAAUGAGAAGGUGAGAUUAUUAGUUGUUAACCGUGACACUGAAUUAAAUUGUUUAAACUUUUGGCAAUAGUAGGUUUUUCAAAUUUGAACAAUUCGAAGUUUGAUCAAAUAAAGAUGAGCAGAUAUCAAAUGUUAACAUCCAGGAAAUAAAAAGACCUGGCGCCCAUAAUUGUCGAUUAAUUUAUAU